UUGACUGCGAGACUGAUAAGUCGAGCAGAUACGAAAGUAGGGCUUAGUGAUCCGGUGGUCCCGUAUGGAAGGGCCAUCGCUCAUCAGACAAAAGGUACUCCGGGGAUAACAGGCUUAUCGCUCCCGAGCGUCCAUAGCGGCGGAGCGGUUUGGCACCUCGAUGUCGGCUCAUCACAUCCUGGGGGUGGAGAAGCUCCCAAGGGUUUGGCUGUUCGCCAAUGAAAGUGGUACGUGAGCUGGGUUCAGACCGUCGUGAGACAGGUCGGUCCCUAUCUACUGUGGGCGCACGAAACUUGAGGAGAUUCUUCCUUAGUACGAGAGGAUUUGGAAGGACGUUCCUCUGGUGUCCCAGUUGUCGCGCUAGCGGCACGGCUGGAUAGCUAAGAACGGAAAGGAUAAACGCUGAAAGCAUAUAAGCGUGAAGCCCGCUCCAAGAUCAGGUUUCGUAGGGCGAAAUGCCCGGAAGUCCCCUGGAAGACUACCAGGUCGAUAGGCCGGAUGUGUACGUGCGGCAACGCACUCAGCUAACCGGUACUAACGGACGAAUGCUUGACCACAUU
rnacentral:rRNA from 1 species